CCUACGGGUGGCAGCAGUGAGGAAUAUUGGUCAAUGGACGGAAGUCUGAACCAGCCAUGCCGCGUGCAGGAAGACGGCUCUAUGAGUUGUAAACUGCUUUUGUACAAGGGUAAACCUGAAUACGUGUAUUCAGCUGAAAGUACUGUACGAAUAAGGAUCGGCUAACUCCGUGCCAGCAGCCGCGGUAAUACGGAGGAUCCAAGCGUUAUCCGGAUUUAUUGGGUUUAAAGGGUGCGUAGGCGGAUUGAUAAGUUAGAGGUGAAAUGUCCGAGCUUAACUCGGGAACUGCCUCUAAUACUGUUGGUCUAGAGAGUAGAUGCGGUAGGCGGAAUGUGUGGUGUAGCGGUGAAAUGCUUAGAGAUCAUACAGAACACCGAUUGCGAAGGCAGCUUACCAAUCUAUAUCUGACGUUGAGGCACGAAAGCGUGGGGAGCAAACAGGAUUAGAUACCCCGGUAGUC
rnacentral:rRNA from 1 species